rnacentral:rRNA from 1 species
CCUACGGGAGGCAGCAGUGAGGAAUAUUGGUCAAUGGACGGAAGUCUGAACCAGCCAUGCCGCGUGCAGGAAGACGGCUCUAUGAGUUGUAAACUGCUUUUGUACAAGGGUAAACCUGAAUACGUGUAUUCAGCUGAAAGUACUGUACGAAUAAGGAUCGGCUAACUCCGUGCCAGCAGCCGCGGUAAUACGGAGGAUCGAAGCGUUAUACGGAUUUAUUGGGUUUAAAGGGUGCGUAGGCGGAUUGAUAAGUUGGAGGUGAAAGGGCCGAGCCUAACUCGGGAACUGCCUCUAAUACUGGUGAUCUAGAGAGUAGGUGCGGUAGGCGGAAUGUAUGGUGUAGCGGUGAAAUGCUUAGAGAUCAUACAGAACACCGAUUGCGAAGGCAGCUUACCAAUCUAUAUCUGACGUUGAGGCACGAAAGCGUGGGGAGCAAACAGGAUUAGAUACCCCAGUAGUC